rnacentral:misc_RNA from 1 species
AGCAGCCGCGGUAAUUCCAGCUCCAAUAGCGUAUAUUAAAGUUGUUGCAGUUAAAAAGCUCGUAGUUGAAUUUCGGGGUUAGCAGGUCGGUCGUGCCAUUGGUAUGAACUGGUCUCGCUGAUCCCUCCCUCUUGACGAACUGUGAUGCCAUUAAUUUGGUGUCGCAGGGAAUCAGGACUGUUACUUUGAAGAAAUUAGAGUGUUUAAAGCAGGCUCACGCUUGAAUACAUUAGCAUGGAAUAAUGAAAUAGGACGUUUGAUCCUAUUUUGUUGGCUUCUAGGAUUGACGUAAUGAUUAAUAGGGAUAGUUGGGGGCAUUAGUAUUCAAUUGUCAGAGGUGAAAUUCUUGGAUUUAUUGAAGACUAACUACUGCGAAAGCAUUUGCCAAGGAUGUUUUCAUUAAUCAAGAACGAAAGUUAGGGGAUCGAAGACGAUCAGAUACCGUCGUAGUCUUAACCAUAAACUAUGCCGA